UAAGGAAUAUUGGACAAUGGGGGCAACCCUGAUCCAGCCAUCCCGCGUGCAGGAUGACGGCCCUCCGGGUUGUAAACUGCUUUUAGACAGGAAGAACCGCCUUCAUUUAUGAGGGUUUGACGGUACUGUCAGAAUAAGCACCGGCUAAUUCCGUGCCAGCAGCCGCGGUAAUACGGAAGGUGCAAGCGUUAUCCGGAAUCACUGGGUUUAAAGGGUGCGUAGGCGGCUUGAUAAGUCAGAGGUGAAAGGUGUCGGCUUAACCGACAAAUUGCCUUUGAUACUGUCAGGCUUGAAAGAGGAUGAGGUUAGCGGAAUGUGGCAUGUAGCGGUGAAAUGCAUAGAUAUGCCAUAGAACACCAAUUGCGAAGGCAGCUAACCGGCCCUACUUUGACGCUGAGGCACGAAAGCGUGGGGAGCGAACAGGAUUAGAUACCCCCGUAGUCC
rnacentral:rRNA from 1 species